rnacentral:rRNA from 1 species
CCUACGGGAGAAAGAGGGGACCUUCGGGCCUUGCGCUAUCAGAUGAGCCUAGGUCGGAUUAGUUAGACCGAGAGGGAAUGGCUCACCCAGGCGACGAUCCGUAACUGGGCUGAGAGGAUGAUCAGUCACACUGGAACUGAGACACGGUCCAGACUCCUACGGUAGGUAGCAGUGGGGAAUAUUGUACAAUGGUCGAAAGCCUGAUCCAGCCAUGCCGCGUGUGCGAAGAAGGUCUUCGGAUCGUAAAGCACUUUAUGUUGGGAGGAAGGGCAUUAACCUAAUCCCCAUCCCCCCCUUGACGUUACCGACCGAAGAAGUAC